GACGAACGCUGGCGGCGUGCUUAACACAUGCAAGUCGAACGGAAAGGCCCUGCUUUUGUGGGGUGCUCGAGUGGCGAACGGGUGAGUAACACGUGAGUAAACUGCACUUGACUUUGGGAUAACUUCAGGAAACUGGGGCUAAUACAGGAUAGGAGCUCCUGCUGCAUGGUGGGGGUUGGAAAGAUUCGGCGGUUGGGGAUGGAAUCGCGGGUUAUCAGCUGGUUGGUGGGGUAGUGGCUUACCAAGCGUUUGACGGGUAGCCGGCCUGAGAGGGUGACCGGCCACAUUGGGACUGAGAUACGGCGCAGACUCCUACGGGAGGCAGCAGUGGGGAAUAUUGCACAAUGGGCGGAAGCCUGAUGCAGCAACGCCGCGUGCGGGAUGACGGCCUUCGGGUUGUAAACCGCUGUCGCCUGUGACGAAGCGUGAGUGACGGUAAUGGGUAAAGAAGCACCGGCUAACUACGUG
rnacentral:rRNA from 1 species